rnacentral:rRNA from 1 species
GAUGAACGCUGGCGGCGUGCCUAAUACAUGCAAGUCGAGCGAACGGACGAGAAGCUUGCUUCUCUGAUGUUAGCGGCGGACGGGUGAGUAACACGUGGAUAACCUACCUAUAAGACUGGGAUAACUUUGGGAAACCGGAGCUAAGACCGGAUAAUAUUUUGAACCGCAUGGUUCAAAAGUGAAAGACGGUCUUGCUGUCACUUAUAGAUGGAUCCGCGCUGCAUUAGCUAGUUGGUAAGGUAACUGCUUACCAACGCAACGAUGGAUAGCCGACCUGAGCGCGUGAAUGGCCACAUGGUAUCUGAGGCUCGGUCCACACUCUGGCAGUGAGAAACAGUAGGGAAUCUUACGGAAUGGGGGAGUGCGUGAUGGAGGAAAGCCGCGUGAGUGAUGAUGCUCUUCGGAUCCGUGAACUAUGUUAUUAGGGAAGAACUUAUGUGUAAGUAACUGUGCACAUCUUGACGGUACCUAGUCAGAAAGCCACGGCUAACUACGUG